rnacentral:sRNA from 1 species
AGGAGGUGGCCGGUGCGGCGCCGUCAGGCCGGGCCGGGUCGGGGGGCCGGGAGCCAUCAAGUCUGCACGUCCGCAGCCUGGCCGCUCGGCUUCAGCAGGAAGCACCGAAUGGGCCUCGGAGCCAGAAUGUUGGCUACCAGGGUAUUUAGCCUAGUUGGCAAGCGAGCAAUUUCCACCUCUGUGUGUGUACGAGCUCAUGAAAGUGUUGUGAAGAGCGAAGACUUUUCGCUCCCAGCUUAUAUGGAUCGGCGUGACCACCCCUUGCCGGAGGUGGCCCAUGUCAAGCACCUGUCUGCCAGCCAGAAGGCCUUGAAGGAGAAGGAGAAGGCCUCCUGGAGCAGCCUCUCCAUGGAUGAGAAAGUCGAGUGUGGGUAUUGAAGGGACCCACAGGCGCGCCCAGCAGCUCUCAGAAGUGUGUGUGUGACAGAGCCUCUGCUCACUUCUGGGCCUACUGUCUAGAGAGCAGUCUUGCACAGGAGGGUUGCUCUGCUGGGUUUCGGGGUCACUGUCCCAGGGCCCUAGUUUAUGUGCUCACCAGUCACUUAGCUCUGCCAGCUGACAGGAUCUUUUGCU